CUCCUACGGAGGCAGCAGUGAGGAAUAUUGGUCAAUGGACGCAAGUCUGAACCAGCCAUGCCGCGUGAAGGAUGAAGGCCUUCUGGGUUGUAAACUUCUUUUAUGUGGGAAGAAACCACUUUUUUCUAAGUAGUGUUGACGGUACCAUAGGAAUAAGCACCGGCUAACUCCGUGCCAGCAGCCGCGGUAAUAC
rnacentral:rRNA from 1 species